AUGGCCGUCCCGACCCCCUGCUGCCUCGAGCGCCCGCGCAGGACCUCGUCGGACCACCAAGCGCCAACCUCCCGAGGAGCUCUCGUCGCAGCUGCAGUUCACUCGCGUCGCCGCCAACUCCCUCUGCCUCGAACGCUCGCCCGCCUCCAGCGCCCUCCUGGCCCCGUCCCGCGCCGUGGCCCAGCUCCUCCGCCGGCCUCCACUGCCAGCGCCAUGCGCGCUACCCCUCCUGCUGCCGUGCUGCUCUGUUCUGUCGAAGACAGCGAGCGCCCGCAGCUUCCUGCUCGCCUGGAUCGACCCAAUCCGGAUCGAUCUGGCCCGCUUGGGCCUCAUCCACAACCGCGCCAGCCCAACGCCCCCCUCCUGCUACCUCUCCACAGUUCUGGGCAAGGACCAUGUCCCCGUUUCGUUGCGACUGUGAUGAUUCGUUCGACUACGUGGGAUCAUCUUUACCAUGGACACGUUCUUCUUCCUAGCGCGAUUCCAGGUGCCGAGGAUACCAGUGCAAGUGACGCAACCCAGCUCACGUGA
rnacentral:rRNA from 1 species